GCCCUUAGAGUUUGAUCCUGGCUCAAGAUGAACGCUGGCGGCGUGCUUAACACAUGCAAGUCGAGCGAAGCACAUAAGUUUGAUUCUUCGGAUGAAGACUUUUGUGACUGAGCGGCGGACGGGUGAGUAACGCGUGGGUAACCUGCCUCAUACAGGGGGAUAACAGUUAGAAAUGGCUGCUAAUACCGCAUAAGACCACAGUACUGCAUGGUACAGUGGUAAAAACUCCGGUGGUAUGAGAUGGACCCGCGUCUGAUUAGGUAGUUGGUGAGGUAACGGCCCACCAAGCCGACGAUCAGUAGCCGACCUGAGAGGGUGACCGGCCACAUUGGGACUGAGACACGGCCCAGACUCCUACGGGAGGCAGCAGUGGGGAAUAUUGCACAAUGGGCGAAAGCCUGAUGCAGCGACGCCGCGUGAAGGAUGAAGUAUUUCGGUAUGUAAACUUCUAUCAGCAGGGAAGAAAAUGACGGUACCUGACUAAGAAGCCCCGGCUAACUACGUGCCAGCAGCCGCGGUAAUACGUAGGGGGCAAGCGUUAUCCGGAUUUACUGGGUGUAAAGGGAGCGUAGACGGCUGUGCAAGUCUGAAGUGAAAUGCAUGGGCUCAACCUAUGGACUGCUUUGGAAACUGUGCAGCUAGAGUGUCGGAGAGGUAAGUGGAAUUCCUAGUGUAGCGGUGAAAUGCGUAGAUAUUAUGAGGAACACCAGUGGCGAAGGCGGCUUACUGGACGAUGACUGACGUUGAGGCUCGAAAGCGUGGGGAGCAAACAGGAU
rnacentral:rRNA from 1 species